rnacentral:rRNA from 1 species
CCUAACCGACGGAAGGACGGGCGAUUACCACGGCAGGGUUCGUGACUGGGGUG